rnacentral:rRNA from 1 species
GAGUAACACGUGACUAACCUAACCCUUUUAGUUGGGGGGAGUAAACCUCGGGGAAAACCGAGGCUAAUACCGCAUAACAUCGCAAGAUCAAAGCAGCAAUGCGCUGGAAGAGGGGGUCGCGGCUGAUUAGCUAGUUGGCGGGGUAACGGCCCACCAAGGCGAAGAUCGGUAGCCGGCCUGAGAGGGCGCACGGCCACACUGGAACUGAAACACGGUCCAG